GAGUUUGAUCCUGGCUCAGGAUAAACGCUGGCGGCGUGCCUAAUGCAUGCAAGUCGAACGGUCUUUUUCUCGCAAGAGACAGAGGUAGUGGCAAACGGGUGAGUAACACGUGGGGAUCUGCCCAGUAGUGGGGAACAACUCCGAGAAAUCGGAGCUAAUACCGCAUACGGUCCCUGUAGAGAUACAGGAGACUAAAGCCUUCGCAAGAGGGUGCUAUUGGAGGAACCUGCGGCUGAUUAGCUAGUUGGUGGGGUAAAGGCCUACCAAGGCGAUGAUCAGUAGCUGGUCUGAGAGGAUGGACAGCCACACUGGGACUGAGAUACGGCCCAGACUCCUACGGGAGGCAGCAGCAAGGAAUUUUCGUCAAUGGGGGAAACCCUGAACGAGCAACGCCGCGUGGGCGAAGAAGUCUUUCGGGAUGUAAAGCCCUUUUCCCUGUGAAGAAGGAAAGACGGUAACAGGGGAAUAAGCAUCGGCUAACUACGUGCCAGCAGCCGCGGUAAUACGUAGGAUGCAAGCGUUGUCCGGAAUUAUUGGGCGUAAAGAGCGCGCAGGCGGUUUUUCAAGUCAGAUGUGAAAUAUCCGGGCUUAACCCGGAGGGGUCAUUUGAAACUGAGAAACUAGAGUACAGCAGAGGAUAGCGGAAUUCCCGGUGUAGUGGUGAAAUGCGUAGAUAUCGGGAGGAACACCAGUGGCGAAGGCGGCUAUCUGGGCUGAAACUGACGCUGANGCGCGAAGGCUAGGGGAGCAAACAGGAUUAGAUACCCUGGUAGUCCUAGCAGUAAACGAUGGAUACUAGGUGUUGGGGGAAAUUGACCCCCUCAGUGCCGCANUUAACACAAUAAGUAUCCCGCCUGGGGAGUACGGUCGCAAGAUUAAACUCAAGGAAUUGACGGGGNCCCNCCAACCACNGAACNUGUGGUUUAUUCACNCACNCGAAAACUNACCGGNUUGACAUGCUNUNUNCCUCUCGAAACGGANGCCNCAGGCNANAACCAAANCUNCAUGGCUUCUCACUCNGUCNGAAUNUUGGUUAAUCCCCACA
rnacentral:rRNA from 1 species